rnacentral:rRNA from 1 species
UAGGGAAUCUUCCGCAAUGGACGCAAGUCUGACGGAGCAACGCCGCGUGAGUGAAGAAGGAUUUCGGUUCGUAAAACUCUGUUGUUAGAGAAGAACAGCGCAUAGAGUAACUGUUAUGCGUGUGACGGUAUCUAACCAGAAAGCCACGGCUAACUACGUGCCAGCAGCCGCGGUAAUACGUAGGUGGCAAGCGUUGUCCGGAUUUAUUGGGCGUAAAGCGAGCGCAGGCGGUCAAUUAAGUCUGAUGUGAAAGCCCCCGGCUCAACCGGGGGGGUUCAUUGGAAACUGGUUGACUUGAGUGCAGAAGAGGAGAGUGGAAUUCCAUGUGUAGCGGUGAAAUGCGUAGAUAUAUGGAGGAACACCAGUGGCGAAGACGACUCUCUGGUCUGUAACAGACGCUGAGGCUCGAAAGCGUGGGUAGCAAACAGG